rnacentral:rRNA from 1 species
AACGCUAGCUACAGGCUUAACACAUGCAAGUCGAGGGGCAGCAUGAACUUAGCUUGCUAAGUUUGAUGGCGACCGGCGCACGGGUGAGUAACGCGUAUCCAACCUUCCGUACACUCAGGAAUAGCCUUUCGAAAGAAAGAUUAAUACCUGAUGGUAUGAUGAGAUUGCAUGAAAUCAUCAUUAAAGAUUCAUCGGUGUACGAUGGGGAUGCGUUCCAUUAGAUAGUAGGCGGGGUAACGGCCCACCUAGUCGACGAUGGAUAGGGGUUCUGAGAGGAAGGUCCCCCACAUUGGAACUGAGACACGGUCCAAACUCCUACGGGAGGCAGCAGUGAGGAAUAUUGGUCAAUGGACGAGAGUCUGAACCAGCCAAGUAGCGUGAAGGAUGACUGCCCUAUGGGUUGUAAACUUCUUUUAUAAGGGAAUAAAGUGAGGGACGUGUCCCUUUUUGUAUGUACCUUAUGAAUAAGGAUCGGCUAACUCCGUGCCAGCAGCCGCGGUAAUACGGAGGAUCCGAGCGUUAUCCGGAUUUAUUGGGUUUAAAGGGAGCGUAGGUUGACGUAUAAGUCAGCUGUGAAAGUUUACGGCUCAACCGUGAAAUUGCAGUUGAUACUGUAUGUCUUGAGUGUACAAGAGGUGGGCGGAAUUCGUGGUGUAGCGGUGAAAUGCUUAGAUAUCACGAAGAACUCCGAUUG